rnacentral:rRNA from 1 species
CAAUAGCGUAUAUUAAAGUUGUUGCGGUUAAAAAGCUCGUAGUUGGAUUUCUGGUUGAAGCGACCGGUCGGGCGUUGAUUCGUCUGCACUGGAGUCGGUUUUGGCCAUCCUCUAGGAAAGUGCGUCUGGUAUUAAGUUAUCGGGCGUAUGAUCCUGGUCUUUUACUGUGAAAAAAUUAGAGUGUUUAAAGCAGGCCUUCGCCUUGAAUACAUUAGCAUGGAAUAAUAAGAUAGGACUUUGGUCUAUUUUGUUGGUUUGCAGACCGAAGUAAUGAUUAAUAGGGAUAGUUGGGGGUAUUUAUAUUCCGAUGUCAGAGGUGAAAUUCUUAGAUUUUCGGAAGAUAAACUUAUGCGAAAGCAUUUACCAAGGAUGUUUUCAUUA